GAGGAAGAUACUCGACGAGGGGAAGGAGCAUCUUAAUGAAUAGCAAAGGGUCAUGUGGGUACAUUGAAUCCCGCCUGCCGGAUGGCAUUAAGCAUGCGACAAUGUUGAGCCAGGGUGGAUGUGAGGAAGCUGACAACAAAAAGGAUGCAGGGGUUCCAAAGACUGCUGCCGGGACUGCCUGCGAGACUACCGGGACAAGCUGAAGAAUCAGAUACACGAGUUGGGCGAGAACAUUACCUUGAUCGAGUCAGUGGCGUCCAAGGGCGCUGGCAAUGAAUUUAUUUUCCUCGUAGACCGGUGAUCCUAGAUUUGAACUUUAAGCGCCUUCGGCUGAUGUAUUCUUGCAUUUACUUUCUCUUCAUAGCUAGCUGGUGUUGGCUUCCUCAUAUUGAAGCUUGUGGUGAAGUCUGGUUUGCUGGCAUGCAUUUCCUGGGUGUCUCCUCUGUUACGACCAUAUUUUGUAUUCAGGGUGUUAGACCUGGUAUUUGCUAUGUCGUGCCUGUUGUGCAUAUGCAUUUAUGGGCACCGAGUAGAAGGAAAAUAUAUGUAGAUGCUUGUAUAUAGAGAAAUAUUUGUAUGUGAAGUUUCGCAGCUGCCUCAACUCCUGCGAGGUCGCUC